rnacentral:rRNA from 1 species
ACGCUGGCGGCGUGCUUAACACAUGCAAGUCGAACGGUAAGGCCCUUCGGGGUACACGAGUGGCGAACGGGUGGGUAACACGUGGGUGAUCUGCCCUGCACUUCGGGAUAAGCCUGGGAAACUGGGUCUAAUACCGGAUAGGACUCCUGGCUUCAUGGUUGGGGGUGUAAAGCUUUUGCGGUGUGGGAUGGGCCCGCGGCCUAUCAGCUUGUUGGUGGGGUAAUGGCCUACCAAGGCGACGACGGGUAGCCGGCCUGAGAGGGUGACCGGCCACACUGGGACUGAGAUACGGCCCAGACUCCUACGGGAGGCAGCAGUGGGGAAUAUUGCACAAUGGGCGCAAGCCUGAUGCAGCGACGCCGCGUGAGGGAUGACGGCCUUCGGGUUGUAAACCUCUUUCAAUAGGGACGAAGCGCAAGUGACGGUACCUAUAGAAGAAGGACCGGCCAACUACGUG